CCUACGGGAGGCAGCAGUGAGGAAUAUUGGUCAAUGGACGAGAGUCUGAACCAGCCAAGUAGCGUGAAGGAUGACUGCCCUAUGGGUUGUAAACUUCUUUUAUAUGGGAAUAAAACGUUCCACGUGUGGGAUUUUGUAUGUACCAUAUGAAUAAGGAUCGGCUAACUCCGUGCCAGCAGCCGCGGUAAUACGGAGGAUCCGAGCGUUAUCCGGAUUUAUUGGGUUUAAAGGGAGCGUAGGUGGAUUGUUAAGUAAGUUGUGAAAGUUUGCGGCUCAACCGUAAAAUUGCAGUUGAAACUGGCAGUCUUGAGUACAGUAGAGGUGGGCGGAAUUCGUGGUGUAGCGGUGAAAUGCUUAGAUAUCACGAAGAACUCCGAUUGCGAAGGCAGUUCACUGGACUGCAACUGACACUGAGGCUCGAAAGUGUGGGUAUCAAACAGGAUUAGAUACCCUAGUAGUC
rnacentral:rRNA from 1 species